rnacentral:pre_miRNA from 1 species
AAUACAAUUGCUGGAUCAUAUGGUGUGAGUACGUUCAGUUCUGUAAGAAACUGCUAAACUGUCUUCCAAAGUGGCUGUACCAUUUUGCAUUUCCACUAGCAAU